GGCCUGACGCCCAGGGCGUCCAGGGGUGGGACUCGCUGCCCCGCGCCGGGGAAGGCUCAGCCUGCCCCUGGGAAUUCAGGGAGGAGAUGGGCGCUGUGCGCAGCACCCUGGAAGCUGUGAGAUGUAACAGGGGAACCUAGGUUAGUUUGCGGGUCAGAGAGCCUUUUUGAAUGGCCUCAAAAUUGGUGGGGAGGAGACUCCCAGUUCAAGGAAUAGACGAGAGAGACGGGAAGGAGGGACCACGGGAGACCCCUAGGUGCCCAUUCUCAGCGACUGGAUGGGUUUGGCCCCAUUCACUAGGAUAUAGAGGCGUGAGAAGUUUGGCAGGGAAGUGGGGAGAUGAAGAGUUGGGUUGUGGACCAGUGAACCCAAGGAGAUGUUCUAGACAGAUACACAUCCAGGUCUGAAGCUCCCCAGAGAGUGACCGGACGAGAGACAGACACCGGGAGCUGUUGGAACGCAGAUGGUAUUUGAAGCCAUGGAACUGGAAGAGAUUGCCCAAGCCAGGGGCCUAAAGUGAAAAUAGCAACGCAAAACCAGCCUCAGCGGCCAGGAAGAGGCGUGGGAAGGAGAACCAGCAGAGCCUGCCCGAGCAGCGGACCGGCCGCCGGAGCACAGGGCUGUCUCUUGCUGAGCGGAGGACCGCUUCAGGCAGCAGGUGCCACCCACUUGGACAAAGGCUGCUGAGAAGUCAGCUAAGGAGAGCACUGAGGAGGGUCCUCCAUUUUCAUCCGGGGGAAGACACUGGUCCUCGGGAAGACCUCUGCUGCAGGGGAAGUGAGAAUGAGAAGUGUGGGAGGGGUGAUAGCCAGCAAAUCCGUGGUGAAUAUCUGGAGACGCUUGUCUCUGAGGGUGCAGGGGGAUGGAGAUGGUGGUAGCUCGGGGUUGGGUGUAGGAAUGAGUUAGGGUUUAAAUGAAAGCUGGAGCCGGCUGCCCCGUAAGAACAUUGUGCACAAGCGCCAGGCACGUCUGUUGGGGAGCCCAGGAGCCUCAGAAGCCGGGCCUCUGAGGCGGAGCUGGAGGACCACGUUUCUGAAGAACAGCAGCGUGAGACGUCUCCGCAGAGCGGGAUUGGUUUAGCAGAGGUAAAGGUGGACUCUACAGAGAAGGAGCUAUCCAAGCCAGAGUACACAUCAAGGGGUCAGUCCGUUCUGUAGCCAUGAGGAAGAAAGAAGCUGGGAGAUUUCAUGGUGGUGACAGAUGCCUGGAGGAUACGUACCAACAUUUUUAUAGCGAUUCUCACUUGGCAGAAACAGAAAUCAUCAGACACUGGAUGGUGAGGAAGACUACUCUCCUUUCAAUGG